AAAGAUCAUAUGGUUUAUUUGAAAAUUUUCUUAUCGUGUAUAUAAUAUAUAUGAGUAUUUUCUUAUUGGUUAAACCGAAAACCGAACCGUUAAGUACCAUAAACCGAUAAGAAAUAUGUUAUUGGUUUGGUUAUCGGUUUGAUGUAUUUACAAACCGAAAACCGAUAAAUCAAACCAAUAACACCUAAAACCGAACCGAACCGACCGAUGCGCACCC
rnacentral:lncRNA from 1 species